rnacentral:rRNA from 1 species
AUUGAACGCUGGCGGCAGGCCUAACACAUGCAAGUCGAGCGAGCGGCGGCCGGGUGAGUAAUGUAUGGGGACUGCCCGAUAGAGGGGGAUAACUACUGGAAACGGUGGCUAAUACCGCAUACUAUCGGAUAACCCAUAUGGGGUUAGCUAGUUGGUGGGGUAAAGGCUCACCUAGGCGACGAUCUCUAGCUGGUCUGAGAGGAUGAUCUGCCACACUGGGACUAAGACACGUCCCAUGUUCCGACGGAGGCGGAAGUGGGGAAUAUUGCACAAUGGGCGAAAGCCUGAUGCAGACAUGCCGGGUGUAUGAAGAGGGCCUUAGGGUUGUAAAGUACUUUCAGCGGGGAGGCGUUACCCGAAGAAGAAGCACCGGCUAACUCCGUGCCAGCAGCCGCGGUAAUUC